rnacentral:rRNA from 1 species
AUUGAACGCUGGCGGCAGGCCUAACACAUGCAAGUCGAACGAGUGGCGGACGGGUGAGUAAUGUCUGGGAAACUGCCCGAUGGAGGGGGAUAACUACUGGAAAAGGUAGCUAAUACCGCAUACCAUCGGAUGUGCCCAUAACGGAUUGGCUUGUGGGUUGGGUAACGGCUCACCUAGGCGACGAUCCCUAGCUGGUCGGAGAGGAUGACCAGCCACACUGGAACUGAGACACGGUCCAGACUCAUACGGUAGGCAGCAGUGGGGAAUAUGGCACAAUGGGCGCAACCCUGAUGCAGCCAUGCCGCGUGUAGGAAGAAGGCCUUCGGGUUGUAAAGUACUUUCAGCGAGGAGGCGUUACAGGAAGAAGAAGCACCGGCUAACUCCGUGCCAGCAGCCGCGGUAAUUG